rnacentral:rRNA from 1 species
AGAGUUUGAUCCUGGCUCAGGACGAACGCUGGCGGCGUGCCUAAUACAUGCAAGUCGAGCGGACCGAGCGGGAGCUUGCUUCCGCUUGGUUAGCGGCGGACGGGUGAGUAACACGUGGGUAACCUGCCCGUAAGACCGGGAUAACUCCGGGAAACCGGGGCUAAUACCGGAUAACACCGAAGACCGCAUGGUCUUCGGUUGAAAGGCGGCUUCGGCUGCCACUUACGGAUGGGCCCGCGGCGCAUUAGCUAGUUGGUGAGGUAAUGGCUCACCAAGGCGACGAUGCGUAGCCGGCCUGAGAGGGUGACCGGCCACACUGGGACUGAGACACGGCCCAGACUCCUACGGGAGGCAGCAGUAGGGAAUCUUCCGCAAUGGACGAAAGUCUGACGGAGCGACGCCGCGUGAG